UACGAAGGGGGCGAGCGUUGUUCGGAAUCACUGGGCGUAAAGGGCGCGUAGGCGGCGACGCAAGUCAGAUGUGAAAGUCCUGGGCUUAACCUGGGGACUGCAUUUGAUACUGGGUUGCUUGAAUUCGGGAGAGGAUAGCGGAAUUCCCAGUGUAGAGGUGAAAUUCGUAGAUAUUGGGAAGAACACCGGUGGCGAAGGCGGCUAUCUGGACCGACAUUGACGCUGAGGCGCGAAAGCGUGGGGAGCAAACAGG
rnacentral:rRNA from 1 species